CUACGGGACGCUCCAGUGGGGAAUAUUGGACAAUGGGCGAAAGCCUGAUCCAGCAAUGCCGCGUGAGUGAUGAAGGCCUUAGGGUUGUAAAGCUCUUUUACCAGGGAUGAUAAUGACAGUACCUGGAGAAUAAGCUCCGGCUAACUCCGUGCCAGCAGCCGCGGUAAUACGGAGGGAGCUAGCGUUGUUCGGAAUUACUGGGCGUAAAGAGUACGUAGGCGGUUAUUCAAGUCAGAGGUGAAAGCCUGGAGCUCAACUCCAGAACUGCCUUUGAAACUAGAUAGCUAGAAUUAUGGAGAGGUUAGUGGAAUUCCGAGUGUAGAGGUGAAAUUCGUAGAUAUUCGGAAGAACACCAGUGGCGAAGGCGACUAACUGGACAUAUAUUGACGCUGAGGUACGAAAGCGUGGGGAGCAAACAGGAUUAGAUACCCUCGUAGUC
rnacentral:rRNA from 1 species